UGUAGUUUAAUUUAGUGGCUGGAAUCUGGAUGGAAUGUUUUUGUGUAUGGAACAUGUAUUUUAGAACAUAUGCACACUUUUGUAUGGAUUGGAAUAUUAUAUAUGGCUGUGAUAUAUUCAGUUGUAUAGGCUGAUUAUUAUAAUUAUAUAUUCACUUAUAUGGUUUAUAAUCUGUGAUUAUUAUAUAGGUCUGGCCCACGGGGACUGAAUCGUAAUGUCAGAAUGUAAUUAAUUUGAAUUUGCUACAUCACUUGCCAUGUCACCAUACAU
rnacentral:lncRNA from 1 species